ACCUGGUCUGGUACUGGCAUAGAACAACAUCUGCAAGCCAUUGUCUGCACACAGCAGAAAUGAUGACCAAAGUGAACUCCCGGGGGAAGCCAGAGUGGACAGCAUAUCAAAGCAGGGCCAAGGUCUCGCCUGGUGGAUGAGACAUGUCUCAAUUAGAUAGAGGACGCCACAGUCUCCCAUGUACCGCUGAAAUCCGAUCGUCACUCCAAGAUUGUCUUUUCUGCUCUCCAAGAACUGGAUGCCUGCAAGAGUGUCUCCAGGGAAAAGGUAAUUGCUGCGGAAGCCGAGCUACUGAGCGCCAGUCGUCUGUUUGGUUGAUAGGGAUCAGUGGGCAAAGAAGUGUGGAGUCGA